AGGAUGAACGCUGGCGGCGUGCCUAAUACAUGCAAGUCGAGCGGCAGCGCGGUCUUCGGACUGGCGGCGAGCGGCGGACGGCUGAGUAACGCGUAGGAAUGUACCCCAAAGUGAGGGAUAAGCACCAGAAAUGGUGUCUAAUACCGCAUGUGAUCUAUGGAUUAAAGCUUCGGCGCUUUGGGAACAGCCUGCGUAUGAUUAGCUUGUUGGUGAGGUAAUAGCUCACCAAGGCGACGAUCAUUAGCUGGUCUGAGAGGAUGAUCAGCCAGACUGGGACUGAGACACGGCCCAGACUCCUACGGGAGGCAGCAGUAGGGAAUUUUCCACAAUGGGCGAAAGCCUGAUGGAGCAACGCCGCGUGCAGGAUGAAGGCCUUCGGGUUGUAAACUGCUUUGUUAGUGAGGAUUAUGACAGUAGCAUAUGAAUAAGGAUCGGCUAACUCCGUGCCAGCAGCCG
rnacentral:rRNA from 1 species